CCUACGGGUGGCAGCAGUGAGGAAUAUUGGUCAAUGGACGAGAGUCUGAACCAGCCAAGUAGCGUGAAGGAUGACUGCCCUAUGGGUUGUAAACUUCUUUUAUAAAGGAAUAAAACGAGGCACGUGUGCCUUUUUGCAUGUACUUUAUGAAAAAGCAUCGGCUAACUCCGUGCCAGCAGCCGCGGUAAUACGGAGGAUCCGAGCGUUAUCCGGAUUUAUUGGGUUUAAAGGGAGCGUAGGUGGGUUGUUAAGUCAGUGGUGAAAAUUGGGGGCUCAACCGUAGAAUUGCAGUUGAUACUGGCAGUCUUGAGUGAGGUUGAGGUAGGCGGAAUGCGUGGGGUAGCGGUGAAAUGCAUAGAUAUCACGUAGAACCCCGAUUGCGAAGGCAGCUUACUGGACUUUAACUGACGCUGAUGCACGAAAGUGUGGGUAUCGAACAGGAUUAGAUACCCGGGUAGUC
rnacentral:rRNA from 1 species